AGAGGUCAAAGCCGGCCACUAUACAUAAGCUGGCGCUUGGAGAUGAGCCUGCGGCCCAUCAGCUAGUUGGUAGGGUAAUGGCCUACCAAGGCUAAGACGGGUAGCUGGUCUGAGAGGAUGAUCAGCCACACUGGAACUGAGACACGGUCCAGACUCCUACGGGAGGCAGCAGUGGGGAAUCUUGCGCAAUGGGCGAAAGCCUGACGCAGCGACGCCGCGUGGGUGAUGAAGGCCUUCGGGUUGUAAAGCCCUGUGGAGGGGGACGAAUAAGGGCAGCCUAAUACGCUGACCGAUGACGGUACCCCUUUAGCAAGCACCGGCUAACUCUGUGCCAGCAGCCGCGGUAA
rnacentral:rRNA from 1 species